rnacentral:snRNA from 1 species
AUAGCUUCUUGGCCUUUUGGCUAAAAUCAAGUGUAGUAUCUGUUCUUAUCAGUUAAUAUCUGAUAGUCCUUUAUCCAAGGACAAUAUAUUAAAUGGAUUUUUGGAACAGGGAGAUGGAAUAGGAGCUUGCUCCAUCCACUCCACACAUCAACCUGAUAUUGCAGUAUCUCCAGGAACAACAAAAAAAAA